rnacentral:rRNA from 1 species
AGUGAACGCUGGCGGUAGGCCUAACACAUGCAGGUCGAACGGCAGCACAGUAAGAGCUUGCUCUUACGGGUGGCGAGUGGCGGACGGGUGAGGAAUACAUCGGAAUCUACUUUUUCGUGGGGGAUAACGUAGGGAAACUUACGCUAAUACCGCAUACGACCUACGGGUGAAAGCAGGGGAUCUUCGGACCUUGCGCGAUUGAAUGAGCCGAUGUCGGAUUAGCUAGUUGGCGGGGUAAAGGCCCACCAAGGCGACGAUCCGUAGCUGGUCUGAGAGGAUGAUCAGCCACACUGGAACUGAGACACGGUCCAGACUCCUACGGGAGGCAGCAGUGGGGAAUAUUGGACAAUGGGCGCAAGCCUGAUCCAGCCAUACCGCGUGGGUGAAGAAGGCCUUCGGGUUGUAAAGCCCUUUUGUUGGGAAAGAAAAGCAGCAGGUGAAUACCCCGCUGUUCUGACGGUACCCAAAGAAUAAGCACCGGCUAACUUCGUG